CUCUGACUAGCAAUCAAUGGCCGGGGGCAGUCCUUGUUCUAGUCUUCUGAAGGAAGAGAGCGGCAAUCGCCAUUUUGUUCACUCUUGGACAGUGUGCUGAGAGAAGAGCUUGCUGAGAGCCUCAGAUUAUCUUGUUCCUGCCUCCUUUCUGACCCUUUGGUUACUGGCAACUACAUGGCUCUGACCCUUAGCUUCUUCCUGACCUUGGGCUCUUGUCUAGACCCUCUGGUUCCUAAUCAUCCACCUGGAUUGAAUCCUGAUUACCCUGUUGAGUCACUGUGAACCAUGGAAGGGCACUCCUGGAAGAUGAUGACACAUAUUAGUAUAGUUCUAAGAAAAUGAACUCUUGAUAGAAUGGCUGAUAUUAGUAGGAUCAGCAGGAAUGUUUCCAAAGAAAGUGAAGAGAGAUGGCUGCAGGAUUCAAGAUUUAGUUUCUAGUUUGUUUGUUUUUAGCCCCCCCUCUCCCUCUGAGGAUCUGUGUCCAUUUUAUCCUCUCAUACAAUCCUGUGGGGUAGACUAGGCUUAGAUGGACUGGCUCAAUACUACACAGUAAGCUUCAUGUCUGAAUGGGGAUCUGAACCUAGAUCUUCCUAGUCCAACGUUCUAACCACUGCAUCAAAAUUGGCUCAUUCUGUAGCUGUAGGGUGUCACCCUGGUACUGCCAAGGGCCUUUUUUCAAACUAAGAUGCUGUCCAUAAGCAAAGUCUUCCAUACUUCCUGCCGGCUACUAUAAAGGCUAUGCCAGAAAUAUAGGCUGCUCAGAUUUCAGUGGUUUCCCCAUCCUCCUGGGAGAAAAGGGAAAGUUCUAACAAUUAUGAUUAGUGAAAGAAGGCCCUGUCAAGAGCACCUGCUUUGCAUGUAGAAUGUUAGAGACUCAAUGCCAGGUAGAGCUGGGAAACUGAAAAUGUGAAGAGCUUGGCCAGUUGGUGCAGAAAAUACUAAAUUAGGUGGACUGAGAAUCUGACUCUCUACAAGGCAGUUUCACAUGCCUAGGUUAGCUGUUUUCUUGCCUAGAAAAAAAGCUACAGUAUGCAGAAAAGGUAUAUUUCUUUGAUUUAGACUUUUGAACCCCGUUCAAGCAUUCAAAAGAUGCUCCUAAACAUGAUUACAGCUACCUAAGGCAACUGGGAAGUCCUGCCCAUGCAUAUCAAUCAUGUCCCUUCUCUCACUGCUUAUAAAAAGAGCAGCGUUUGUGUGAAGAGGGAAGCACCUUAAUCAGGAUAGCAGGCACUUCAGUGAUCAGCAGCCUGGAUCAUCCCAGGCUGCCAAGCAUCGAAGUGUCUGCCCAUGAUGGUUAAGGCUCAUAAGUCUGCUUAUUAUUAUGAAGAAGAGUUAUUUUAUGAAGGAGAAGCACGGCUAUGCCUAGGUGUCUGGCUCUAGUGAGCUAUGGGGACACAAGUUUGAGAAUCCCUGAUGUAAACAGUUUAAGCACUGCAACCCCACUCCCAGGGAUAUAUUUUUGCAAGAUUUCCUUAUUCACUAUGAGGCAUAAUGUUCUUUUACUUACAUCAGGAACAGAUACUUUGUUUAAUUCAAGGGUGAUUUUUAAAUACACUUUACCAAACCAAGCAAAGACUGAAAACAGAAAGCAGAAGUUUACUGGCCAAGCCAACGAAAAGGUCAAACAGGCGCAUGAAGUCAAAUGUCUCUUAUGGAAGUUUAUAUGUGAAACAAUGGAGAUGGUGCCUUGCAUAUAGAUUAUAUAGUCCUGGAUACUUUGGUGACAAGAUACACCCGUCAAAAUUUUCAGAUUCCGAAUAAAAUGUUGAGAGAGAGGUUCAUAUGCUGUGUGUAUUAAGGCACGUCAGUAGGAAAAGGUCAAGUUCAAGUCACUAGUCCCAUGGGGAAAAUACUCCUUACAAGUGAGCAAACUUCAACUAGAUGGAAGGAAAGGUCAGAGCAAUAAUACAAUCUACGUGCUAUAUAAACAUGUAGAAACUUGAAACUGAAGAGCGCCCUGAGAAUCUGUUGUUGGUAGUCACAGUGAUGAGCAUUGAUGGUAAACCAUUUGGGGAGGGGUGCAUUUUGUCAGCUGAUUCCAAAGAUCAAACUGUGAGGUUUUUCAACACAGAAAGUUAGGUUUUUGCCAUGCAAAACCACCGAUUUUCAUAUUGUGAAGCUCCAGUCGAUUAUACUGCUGCUAUCCACUUUUGACUGCAAAACACACACAAUUCUUUCCCACUGAAAUAAAUUGGAUUUAAAAAUGCUUCACUUUGCCUAGAUUAUGCCUCUUGUUUCAGUAGAAUCAAAUAAUUUUAGAGUUCGAAUGUGCCCCCUAAUAUUCUCAAAGAUUUCAGGUGGGGAAUAUGAAGGAGGAAAAUUCUGAAGAAUUUCUACUGAACUCUUGAAUUUUCUCCAAAAUACUCAGGAGUCCUUUUUUUUAGCACAGCAGCUGGCUUUCUGAAGAUGAGUUUUGCCCCAACGUGACCUGCAUCCAGCAGAAAAAACUGAAGAAAAAAUAGCAGUUCUUUCUGAGACUGUUACUGAAUUUAUACCUCUGCACUGCAUACUGUUCAGUCUGAGCAAGCACUGAGUGCCUGUUCGGUUCUGCUCUGGAGCAAGACCCCAAUCUUACUGCAGUUUGAAGGGUUCAUGGUCACUGUGCAUGAGCAAGUGCUCACACUAGUUCCUUGUCUAGUAACUAAAAUUCAGCUCAAAGUCAACUAGAAAAUCUGAACAAUUAUUACUAGAUGAUGCUGGACCUUUGUUUUGUGAUGGAAGGGAUGAGUUAGCAUUAUGCCCAUUGGGGCUUAUAGCAGUGUUAAGUCUCUGCCUUCAGACUAGUUAGACUCAAACAAAUGCUCUUUGGAGAUUAAGGUAUUUCAGCUCUGUGCCUACUUCCCAACCCCAAAAGGUGGUUGUCAUUCAGACCACAUCACUUCUCUCACACACUAAUCCAUCUUCUUCUAGCAGACCAUAUGCUGAGUCAAAGAUCAUAUACCUUUCAUUACAAAACAAAGUUAUACUGACAAACAGUUGUGCUUUGCAAAAUAUUGAUCAUUCCAAAUGGAGAAACAAGUUAAUUGUUACCUGUAGUGAGAAUGUAAUUAUCCCUAAAUUUAGAACCAAUAAACUAUAAGAAUUGGAAAAUAAAUGAUUUUCUACUUUAAGUCAUAUACUUUCCAUUCUGUUACCACCAAGCAAAAGAGAAAACACAGAUAUGCUUUUUAAACAGUUGAAAUUGUAUUAAACUUCAAUUCCCAGAGAUCUGGAACAUCAAUAGGCUUUCAAACAGGCUAUUCCUCUCUCACCAGCUGAUCAAACAAGGAUACCCUUCUACUUUAUCAUCUUAGUGCACUGUAUUUCUGGAAUGUAAUUUCUGCAGAACUUAGCAAGGAAUCCUUCCCAAAGCUUCUCUUGAUCUCCAAACCCAUGAAAGUCACAGUGGACACCCUCUACAUGUCUGCAGCCAAUUAUGCAUUCUAAGAAAAACUGAAGCCACAAAUGUUGGAAAUGAUGAGAACUGGCUAUCUUCCAGUAGCUAACAAGGAAAUUGCUAAAGCCAUCCAGUCUUUUUUGUUGUCUAAAACUAACUUGGAAUAUCCUACAACACUUGCUCACAAGAUCGCAUAAGAAUUUCCAAUAGGGUCCACUAAGGUUCAGGCACUGAAAUUCUGUCUCUGUUUAGCUGAAAAAGGGGGGCUGCUUGUGCACCUCCCUGCACACUUCCCAGCUAAACUCCACACAAAACUCCUUUGAUAUCUGUUAGCAAACUACUGUUCACAAAGCUCCAGGUAUACAAGCUCCCCUGGUCUGAGCCUUGUCUUCUCAAGAGCUCCUUCUAAACCAAGCCUCCUCAAGAGUGUGCCCCUCCCACAAGCUGUGUGGCUCACCUGAAGCUAACCCCCACCCACUGUCUCUCUAGGCACAAUUGAAAACUGCCCUGUCAAAAACAAACCCCUAGCCAGCCGGAAAAUCAAACAGUAGAAAAACAGCAGUAGAAAUCAAACAAGGCCUAACUUACCUUGUCCUUCCCCCCUUGUUAGUUAAUUAGUUAUUUGCUUGCUUGCUUCUUUAGGAAAGAAAACAAAAGUUUGCUACAGUGUGUUACAACCAGCAAGAAGAGGCUCUGAAGAGAGCAGCUUCCAGAGCAAACAGAUCACUUCACAUCACAAGACUGACAGUCUUUCUUGCACUCACUAUAAUAGAGCACUUGAAUGGGUGUUUUUUUAAAAAAAAAAUCAAAUUUAUAUAGUAAUAGUGAUGCUAGCAUAGCAUAUGAUUGUGAUCCAAUCCAAUAAAAAACUAAUCCAAUAAAAAAACUCUGUUGAAGGAAUGGACAGAGGGAGUGUGACUCUGUUGAUUCCUUUGGACCUUUCUGUGGCUUUUGAUACUAUCGACUAUGGCAUCCUUCUGGAUCACUUGGGGGACUUAGGAAUAAGUGGCAUUACUUUGCAGUGUUCCAUUCCUAUCUCUCCGGUAGGUUCCAGAUGGUGUCACUCAGAGAUAGUUGCUCUCUGAAAUGAAAGCGAUUGUAUUGUGUCCCGCAUGGCUCCAUCCUAUCUCCGAUGGUUUUUAACAUCUACAAGAAACCAAGGUGAGAUCAUAAGGAGAUUUGAAGCAGGGUGUUAUCAAUAUGCUGAUGACACCCAAAUCUAUUUCUCCGUGACAUCAUCAGGAAAUGAGAUAGCCCCCCUAAAUGCCUGCCUACAGGCAGUAAUGGGUUGGAUGAGGGAUAAUAAAUUGAACCUGAAUCCAAGCAAGGCGGAGGUACACAUGGAAAGGGGUCAUACUUCAAGGGACGUGAUGCUGGUCCCCACCACCGUGCCAGCACGAUGAGGCAAGGAGCAGGGUUGUGACCCCAUCACAUGAGGUGGCAGGAGAGUGUGGGUGUUGGGUAGGUAGAUUGAUUAACGGUGUUCGGCUGGAGGGCCAUUUGGAGUGAGGGCGACCAAGGAACAGCCCUUCAGGGUUUUUGCAGCCCGGAGGGCUGAGAAUGGCUCCUGCUUGGGGGGGGGGGUGGUGGCUUGACUCACCAACUCAAAGCUUUGGCAGCUUGAGUUGGGGGCAGGCCAGGUUGUGUGUCCCCCCUUCAGUGGGGGACAGCUUCUCAGUGAGAGGAAGUCAGGACCUGGUGCCUGACCGAAUAAGUCAUGGGACGGCCCUCCCUAGGUGGAAGGAGUACCUACACUCUGUUUAGUUAGGUACCUCACUGCAAGUCUUAUUCUGCUGUACAUUAAUAAAAUGGCCCUAUUUUAUUCCAAUUGAGUGUUUCCUGUCUUCACUGGGGCAGGGGGUGAAAUAUAUCUUCCUGUUCUGGAUGGAGUUGCACUCCCCUCAAAGGAACAGGUACGUAGCUUGGGAGUGCUUCUGAACCCAGGCCUCACUCUGGUUUCUCAGGUUGAGGCCAUGGCCAGGAGUGCUUUCUAUCAACUUCCUUUGAUAUAACAGUUACAUCUGUUCCUUGGAGAUAAUGAUCUCAGAACUGUGGUUCACUCUAGGCUUGACUACCCCACUCUACAUGGGGCUGCCUUUGUAUGUGGUUAGGAAACCAGUUGGUUCAAACUGCAGCAGCUAGAUUGGUCUCCAGAUUUUCUCAGAGAGACCAUAUUAUGCCUUUUUUAAAGCAACUGCAUUGGCUGCCAAUAGGUUUCCGGGCAAAAUACAAAGUGCUGGUAUUUACCUUUAAAGUCCUAAAUGGCUUAGGAUCAGGUUACAUGGGAGAGUGCCUUCUUCUGCAUGAUCCCCACCACACAUUACGAUCAUCAAGAGAUGUCCAUCUCCAUAUACCACCAGCUCAUCUGGUGGCGACUCGGGAGCGUGCUUUCUCUGUAGUCACUCCUGGGCUGUGGAAUGUGUUCCCUAUAGAUAUUUGUGGCUUAACUUCUUUACUAGCCUUCAAAGGAGCCCUUAAGACACACUUUUUUAGCCAGGCCUUUAAUAAUCUUUGAACGUUUUACAUUUUUAGCUGCUGUUUAAAUUUUUUUAUUGCGGUAAUCUUUGAAUGUUUGAUUAGAGUGCUGGACUAGGACUGGGGAGACCUGAGUUCAAAUCCCCAUGCAGCCAUGAUACUUGCUGGGUGACCCUAGGCCAGUCACUUCUCUCUCAGCCUAACCUACUUCACAGGAUUGUUGUGAGGAGAAACAUAAGUAUGUAGUUCACUGCUCUGGGC